UGUUACAAUGUGAGGAGUCUCUGGUCUUC
rnacentral:piRNA from 1 species